UAACCUGCCCAAGAGAUCGGGAUAACACCUGGAAACAGAUGCUAAUACCGGAUAACAACAGAUGAUGCCUAUCAACUGUUUAAAAGAUGGUUCUGCUAUCACUCUUGGAUGGACCUGCGGUGCAUUAGCUAGUUGGUAGGGUAACGGCUUACCAAGGCGAUGAUGCAUAGCCGAGUUGAGAGACUGAUCGGCCACAUUGGGACUGAGACACGGCCCAAACUCCUACGGGAGGCAGCAGGC
rnacentral:rRNA from 1 species